AUCAGGUCUUUUGCAAAUGUCGACGUUGUGGGGAAGCCUAAUCGGCUUACGUAUAUGGGUUCCUCUAAUUUGGCGGCCACGUUGCGUGCUGCUGCCAUUUUGUUGAGAGUGCACUCUGGGUGGAGCUGGUUUGUGGCAUUGAGUGCAUCGGAUUAUCCCUUGUUGACCCAGGAUGACUUGUCCCAUGUAUUCUCCUCUGUUAGCAGAGACCUCAAUUUCAUAGAUCACACCAGUGAUCUUGGGUGGAAAGAAUCACAAAGG
rnacentral:misc_RNA from 1 species